rnacentral:rRNA from 1 species
UACGUAGGGUGCGAGCGUUGUCCGGAAUUACUGGGCGUAAAGAGCUCGUAGGUGGUUUGUCGCGUUGUUCGUGAAAUCCCACGGCUUAACUGUGGGCGUGCGGGCGAUACGGGCAGACUGGAGUACUGCAGGGGAGACUGGAAUUCCUGGUGUAGCGGUGGAAUGCGCAGAUAUCAGGAGGAACACCGGUGGCGAAGGCGGGUCUCUGGACAGUUCCUGACGCUGAGACACGAAGGCCAGGGGAGCAAACGGG